rnacentral:SRP_RNA from 1 species
GCUGGGUGCGGUGGCUCACGCCUGUAAUCCCAGCACUUUGGGAGGCUGAGGCGGGUGGAUCACUUGAGGUCAGGAGUUUGAGACCCACCUGGCCAACAUAGUGAAACCCUGUCUCUA